rnacentral:rRNA from 1 species
AAUGGGUCAGCGACUUAUAUUCUGUAGCAAGGUUAACCGAAUAGGGGAGCCGAAGGGAAACCGAGUCUUAACUGGGCGUUAAGUUGCAGGGUAUAGACCCGAAACCCGGUGAUCUAGCCAUGGGCAGGUUGAAGGUUGGGUAACACUAACUGGAGGACCGAACCGACUAAUGUUGAAAAAUUAGCGGAUGACUUGUGGCUGGGGGUGAAAGGCCAAUCAAACCGGGAGAUAGCUGGUUCUCCCCGAAAGCUAUUUAGGUAGCGCCUCGUGAAUUCAUCUCCGGGGGUAGAGCACUGUUUCGGCAAGGGGGUCAUCCCGACUUACCAACCCGAUGCAAACUGCGAAUACCGGAGAAUGUUAUCACGGGAGACACACGGCGGGUGCUAACGUCCGUCGUGAAGAGGGAAACAACC